UCCCGACGGUCCGAGUCGCAGCCACAAUUAUUGGGUCUAAAACAUUCGUAGCUUGUUUUGACAGUUUCUUGUGAAAUCUUAACUCUUAAGGUUAAGGCGUGCAAGGAAUACUACAAAACUAGAGACCGGAAGAAGUAAGAAGUAUGAUCGAGGUAGUGAUAAAAUACGUUAAUCUUGAUCAGACUAACAAGAGCGAAGGCAUCUUACUAGUACGGAUCCGACAGUGAGGAAUGAAGGCUAGGGGCGCAAAAGG
rnacentral:rRNA from 1 species